rnacentral:tRNA from 1 species
GCCUUCGUGGUGUAAUGGGCAGCACACUCGAAGCACGUAUCGAGAAAUCCGGGUUCGAAUCCUGGCGAGGGCA